rnacentral:rRNA from 1 species
UACGUAGGGUGCAAGCGUUGUCCGGAAUUAUUGGGCGUAAAGGGCUCGUAGGCGGUCUGUCACGUCGGGAGUGAAAACUCAGGGCUUAACCCUGAGCCUGCUUCCGAUACGGGCAGACUAGAGGUAUGCAGGGGAGAACGGAAUUCCCGGUGUAGUGGUGAAAUGCGUAGAUAUCGGGAGGAACACCAGUGGCGAAGGCGGCUUCCUGGCCUGUUCUUGACGCUGAGGCGCGAAAGCUAGGGGAGCAAACGGG